AUUUGGGUCCCUGCACUCCGUCGCCGGAAGUGCCACCAAGAAGCGCCGGCCUCCUAGCUGUCUAGAGCGACCCGGGAAAGGCUGUGGUGUCCCCGAGCGCGAGUGUGUCGGUGACAGGACGGCGGCCAGGCCCGCCCCUCCCCUCGUGAUGGUCAUUGUCCUCCAGAGCAGUGAUGGAGGAAAUACCAGCCCAGGAAGCAGCAGGAUCACCAAGGGUCCAGUUUCAGUCUUUGGAGACCCAGUCUGAGGGUCUGUCCCCAGAGCCUCAGUUUGUGCAGGACACCGACAUGGAACAGGGACUCACUGGGGCUCCACCUGUUCCCCAGGUGCCUGCUCUUCCCCAUGAGGGAAGCCCAGGAGACCAAGCAGCUGCGCUCUUGACAGCCAGGUACCAGGAGUUUGUGACAUUCGAGGAUGUGGCUGUGCACCUUACUCGAGAGGAAUGGGGAUACCUGGACCCUGUUCAGAGGGACCUCUACAGAGAAGUGAUGUUAGAGAAUUAUGGGAACGUGGUCUCACUGGGCAUACUUCUCCGCCUUCCCACCACCCGGAUUCAUAGUGUGAAUUCCUGUCCGGCCCUGAGUCAUACCCAGGCAAGUGCUUUCUCUGGAGAAACACUUGCAGUCCUUACGGCAGGAAUCUCCAAGAGAUGGCCCAAGUAUCGGCUUCCCAUCGAUAUUGCUCAUCCCUGCUCGGAACUCCUUUUCCACGAUUGUGAGAUACUAAACUUGACUGAUGGAAUAGAAGCUCCCCAGGAUGCCACCACUACGUAAAAUCACAGCUCCUCAAAUUACCUCUGCUGAAUUUCUAAUAUUAGGGUCCAAGGAAGCCCUUUGUUGCAACCAGAUGCAUUUUGAAUCCAGUUCAUUCAGAAACCAUGGUUGGUGGUCAUGAUCUGCUUGUGUUCUGAAAAACCAGAAAGUCCAACUUCAGCUCUUCAGUUACGGUUUUUUUCAUAGGAUUUUAGAAUGUGAAACUUACGCUGUGUGCCCCAUCUUCUGUGUAGCAGAUACAAUCUGCCCUGUAUGGUGCCUAACUCUCCAGUGAACUCUGGGCUUUCCUCAUGUUUGACAUUCUGGUUCCCUCCUUCCUUGAAGUCUCUGUGGAACUCUUCAAGGUCAUACCUUCCUCCCCUUUGUUCUUUGUGGUUCUGUACAGAUUGAUGCACUUAUGUUGCCUUUCCUGAUUAAGUGUUCCCUACUUCGUCCUUGGUGGAGGGGAGAAGGAAGGGCAAAGAAGUUAAAUUUAUUUCAGAGCAUCCAAAUGAAUGUCUACUAAAUAACUUUGUAAACUGAAAAGUGACAUAUAUAUAUGAUUGUAAGUACUGUUAAUUUUAUCUAAUAAUUACAGAGUUUCCAACAGUUAA